AUCAUAGAACAGUAAACGCGCUACACGAGCGAGAAACGGAGGUGUAUGACAAGUUCUCCCUAUUUUGCGCCUGGACGUCCAAACGUUGAAGAGAAACAAAGUCAUAGUAAAAUACAUUUUAAAAAUCUAGACAAGGAAAGGGAGACCGUUUCAAGGAGGAAUGCUAACGGAUCACUUUGCACAGGCAAACGCUCACACCACUCUGAUCAAUUUGUAAUAACUCAGCCGCCGCUUUCACACGGUGAAGGCAAUGCGUAAAGUUGCUUUCAGAAGUUGGUGAAAGUUGUCAUCCUGGUGAGCAGAUAAUAGGACGGAGAUGUUCAGUCCAUUAUGGGUUUUCUAAUGUGGAUGUAGAAUAGAAAUCUUGGAAGAGUCUCCGGAUGACCGACGCAUUUUGGAUGUUACCUUUCUUUGGGGCUAUUCUCUGAGAUUCCUUAGAGGCGGAUGCAAUACAAAACAAUUAAAAAAGGAUUCCUCUCAGGUGGCACAUCUGCCAUGUUUGGAUGGAUUAGAUUUUUACUAUAACCAAGAUUAUCAAGAAAUUGUUGAAUUUUUUUUGUGGUUUUUCUUUAUUAUUGUGUCUGAUCCAAACGACAGCUGAAAUUUUAGUACAACUGUCCAACUCACCUUCGGAAUUACAAUCAUGAACAUUGGCAGUUUUGUACAAUUAUUAUUUGCAGUGCUGCUUCAGCUUCAUUUGUAUGCAGUUAAGACAGCCCACAUACCCAAGAACGGGGAGAAGAGUAAAAAUGAUGUGGUCCCGUUUAUGGACGUGUAUAACAAGAGCAUGUGUCGGACACGGGAGAUGCUGGUGGACAUCUUCCAGGAGUAUCCAGAUGAGAUUGAGCACACCUACAUCCCCUCGUGUGUGGUGCUCAUGCGCUGCGCCGGAUGCUGCAACGACGAGGCGCUCGAGUGUGUCCCCACGGAAACAAAAAAUGUUACCAUGGAGGUAAUACAAGUGAAACAGAGAGUAUCGCAGCAUAAUUUUCAGUUAAGUUUCACAGAACAUCGAAAGUGUGAAUGCAGACCAAAGCCAGAAGUUAAGGCAAAGAAAGAAAAGGGCAAUGACCAAAAGAGAAAGAAAGAGAGAGACACUGGCACGAUGAGGUCUGAGGCCUAUGCCAGCGCCUCUUCUGUGGCAUGUCUGCACAUGGGCACUAUGUCUCUCUUGAUGGUUGGCUUGAUUUUGGAGGAACUUGUUUGUAUCUUGUAAGACGCAAACCUCUUUUUGUUUGGCAUGAGGAGGCUCCAUUUUUUUUUAAGAAACCUUUUUUUUGUCUGGCGUACGUACUUAAGUCCAUGGCGAGGGCAGUAAUGUGAAGUUGACGUGAGUGAGAACUGUCAGCCACUGUGAGCCUUGCUCAGAGAGAAGAAAGCGCUUGUUUGUGCAGGACCCUCUCACCUGUAAAUGUUCCUGCAAAUUCACACAAUUAGACUGCAAGUCCAGACAACUUGAGUUAAACGAAAGAACUUGCAGAUGUGACAAACCAAGGAGAUGAGAUGAGGAGAGGGGGACAAUGAAAUGAAGGAAUAUUUUCUUGGCACAGCACUUUGAAACCUGAAAACGCAUUCCCUGGAUGGACAGAAAAUUACAACGCAAGAAAGAACGAGCAAGAGAGAACGAUGGAGAGAGACUGAGAUAACAACAUGCUGUUGUAUAUUUCUAAGAUAUAUAUUCUAAAAGGACAAUGACAAUGUGUAUUGCUGCUAUAAAAAAUGAGACGUUAUAAAGUGAACGAAUGCGCCACUGUCUGUAGUGUGAAUGGCACAAAUGUUUAGUUGCCAGGGUGUUUGGGCCUGAACGUGGAUAGGACUGAGAGUUUUUGUCAGAAUACAUUUUAUUUUAUGUAACACUUCACUGGAUGUUGGUCUGCUGUGGAUAUGAGUAUCUUAAAUAUAUCUAUAUAAAAACUAAGUGAAAUUGUGACCAUAACUUCACUGAGAGGUGCAACGGGAACAUGUUUCUCCUCAGACCUCUGAAGGUAUAGAGAACUGUCAGAAAGCAGAACUACUUCCUCUAUGGGGUGAAGUUUUUGUCACCACUGUAUUGACUAACACCAGAUAGGACUCGGUGUGAGAAUACUUCUAAAGGGAUAUUAAAUGUAGGUAUAUAUGGAGACGAGAGAAUACUGAACUUGAUUCCAUCUUCCGCCAAGGAACAGUUGCAUUCAACUCACCACUGUCAAAAUCAAUGAUCUUUAUUUGCUUUGUUUAAUGUCUUCAUUUGUUUUCCAAAGAUAUAAUUGCACACACAUAUUAAAGAAUAGUCCAUUAUGGAAAAAAUUAUCUGUAUAUACUUACCUAAUAUCCCUUUGUCUAGUACACUACAUCUAAUUUAUAAUGCUAGAAUAUCUUCAGUAUUCUGUGCAUUUAAUUUAUAUAUUUAUAUACAGUGUUAUGGUUGAUAUUGAUUUUACUUCCUCACCUGGCAAUGUUAUCACCAAUCUGUUUGGCCAUGGAAAACAUUGAAAACUGUAGACGUAUUUCUUUUUUUUUUUAAAGAAUGAAAAAAAGAACAGAAAGAUAAAACUUCAACAUUCCUGAAAAUGAGAUACUGUAUGUUUUGUUGGGCUAGAGGGGCUGGUAGCAUGUGUCUUGAUUUUGUUACAAACUAACCCUGCCACAAACAUGUUUGUGAAAAGACGCACAGCCAACGUUGCAGUUUUAAGCUCGAGUCAGGACAUGUGUUUUUGCACUUGAGUGCCCGAAGACACGUCAUGAGGAGGACUGAGGGCGUCUCACUAACCUUGGUCAUCUUGGGCAAACUCCACAGUGAGAGACACUCUGGCCAGCCCAGAUUAGCCAGAACAGGACUUGGCAUAGUGGGGAACCAGGAGCAUUAGAAGGAGACGAUGCUUUCUGCCCUUUUAUGAAAAAAAGAAACAUUCUAUUUGUAUUUCAGUGUCAGAAAUGCUUUUUUGUUUGUUGUAUCAUGUACAGACACAUUUUUAGUAUAUUUUCACAUUAAUAUAUUUAUUGGUGCUGUAAAAUUAUCCAUUUUACAAUAGUAACAUCUUUUUUUGUUUUUAGUGUAACUAUUAACUAUAUUUAUUUAGAAAAUAUAUUGUUUUUUAUUAAACAGAAAAUGCAGUUCUC